CCACAGAAACAUCACUGAUGUAGACUGCCUAGGAGCUGCACAUUAAUCUGCAUGUACCCUAUCCAUAACCUCUCUGGCAAGUGCCACUAAUCUUUGGUUCCGUUACCUGGUUGCAAGCCAUGAGAUAGAGAAGGAUGUUGAUGAGUGCUGAAGAUUGAAUCCCUGUCCAGUCAGCUGAUGCUACAAUGUGAAGAUGGGCCAAUCUCUUGGAGACAGAAUGGACAGUCUAUAGCAAAUUUCUCCAUGG